rnacentral:misc_RNA from 1 species
UUGGGGUCGGGUCCUAAUGGUACAGUCGACGCAAUGAUUAAAGACUUGGCCGAUACUGGAACUUCAUCACUUGGUUUCGAAUAAUCUUGUCUGGGCUCUUCUCUUCUGGCGAUGGGCUGUUUAGAUUUCUUCGGCGUGAGAGACUGAUCUCUGGUUCGAUUUGUUUUUCUAGAAUUAGGUUGGCAAGAUACGUCUCGGGUUCGAGAAGG